GAUGAACGCUGGCGGCGUGCCUAAUACAUGCAAGUCGAGCGAAUGGAUUGAGAGCUUGCUCUUAUGAAGUUAGCGGCGGACGGGUGAGUAACACGUGGGUAACCUGCCCAUAAGACUGGGAUAACUCCGGGAAACCGGGGCUAAUACCGGAUAACAUUUUGAACCGCAUGGUUCGAAAUUGAAAGGCGGCUUCGGCUGUCACUUAUGGAUGGACCCGCGUCGCAUUAGCUAGUUGGUGAGGUAACGGCUCACCAAGGCAACGAUGCGUAGCCGACCUGAGAGGGUGAUCGGCCACACUGGGACCGAGACACGGCCCAGACUCCUACGGGAGGCAGCAGUAGGGAAUCUUCCGCAAUGGACGAAAGUCUGACGGAGCAACGCCGCGUGAGUGAUGAAGGCUUUCGGGUCGUAAAACUCUGUUGUUAGGGAAGAACAGGUGCUAGUUGAAUAAGCUGGCACCUUGACGGUACCUAACCAGAAAGCCACGGCUAACUACGUGCCAGCCGCCGCGGUAA
rnacentral:rRNA from 1 species